GUACUGAUGAAGAGUCCCAAACUAGGAUGAAACAGCUGUCCAGUAC
rfam:Trichobilharzia regenti genome assembly, scaffold: TRE_scaffold0012325